AGGGGCUCUCGCUUGUGUGCGUCGUGUCUGUGGAGCUGUUACCGUGAUGGCUCCUUGUCUUCACUGGGUGUCUUCCUCUUAAGGAGAAAGGGCUCCUCUUUAGCAAGGACGAGCUUUGGGGCAAAGCGUUGGCCAGCGUUAGUUCAUGUGCAGCGCUUGUUGGAGAGGGGCCCGGGUCACGUCUACACAGUCAGCACACGCGCAGCGAAUGUUUCAAAAUGUAGUCAUGUCAGCGCCUUAAAGCUCUAUGGGACGAACUCCUGUGUGGUGCGCGUCGUGUACAUCCCAGCCUCGUUGUAGGGCCCUGCGUUUCCUGACAUGCACUGCGGCUACCUGGAGGAGGAGAGAAUGUUCUAGAAGCCUGUCCGGCGCCCACGGAAUGGUUCAGAAGCUGGAGGAGAGGCCAGGAAGCGGCGCCCGAGCGCCCCCCCACCCCCCCCCACCCCCACAGCGCCCCUGUAGCGCCCCGAGCCGGGCCGUGUGGAGAGAGCGCCCCCUCGCUCGCCCCCCUUCUCCUGCGCCCCCCCCGCCCCCACAGCAGAGGGGAGCAGACGUGACCUUGUCUUCCCCGACUGUUCGUUUUGAAAACUUGGAGACUACAGAAAGCUGUAGCGACAGCACGACAGGCGUCGAUGCGCUCCUCCCUGGCCCCCCCCCCACUGCUAACAUCGCCCCACGACUGUUCUCCCCUUUUUUGCCUGAGCCGUUUGCAAGUUAGUUGUAGCCGUCUUGACGCUUCACCCCAAAGCCUUCAGACUUCCCGAGUCAAGGACAAAACGUCGUGCCCCCAGUACGGUAAAACACGCGCCGGGAACGUCUCCCGCUGACGGAGUCCCGUCACCGACGUGUUCAGACCUGCCCCGUUGUCUGAUAACGGCCCGUACGGAGCCCCCCUCCAGCGCGGGACCUGGCGGGGCGGGGUGCGUCGGUUGUCGCGUCUCCGUAUUCUGCUCUCGUUUGGAACAGUCCCCUAGACUUUUCUUUUAAAUCAUUAAUAUUUCCAAGAGUUCAGGCCAAUUUUUCCAGAAUGUUCCUCAGUUUGGAUUUGUCCGAUGUGUUCUGAGGACAGGCACUUGAUGAACGUUUGGAGGGACGCGGCGCGGGAGGCUGCCCAGGAGCUGCCCGGGUUUCACUGGAUGCCCUGGAGGCACGUGAGGUCGGCGUGUCUGUUCCAGAAGCCCCCUAACCCUCCGUCCUCACAGGAAAGCGUCCUUUCCAGCUGUCUCUGCUCGGCGCUCUUCCCAGCCAAACCUGUGUUUUGGUAAACUGUGAUGAGCUGUUUGCUGGUGUUCUUACCAUAAAUCCAAUGGAUGUGGCGAUUACAGAACGACAAAUCAGAAUAGAGAAAUUAUUGACGGCCUAUAAAGGAUAAGAACCUCAUACACGUUAAAAAUGAUACCAUGCUUUUCUAACAUCACUGAAUUGUCCCAAUGGAAAGUUCUGAGCGAGUUGAACAGACUGUCACCUACGGAGCUUUGUUCGUUUGCUGUCUUUCCUCCCAACAGCACAGAAGCUCCACGUGGGCAGAACAUCUCUGCUGUGUCCCCAGCGUGGUGGACAGGGCCUGGGACGCGGAGGACACACAGGACUGAACACAUCUAUUGAUUCUUAGACACAAAAAAUCAGGAAGAUAUCCCUAAUUUUGGAUAAAAUCUUUAAUGCUUACAGUCAGUAAUCUAUAGGUCACAAACAAGGGUAUUUUAAGGGAGGAAGCUCAAAAUAUGCAACAUGUGGAUACUUUUUAAAAAAAACAUCUGCAGCAUUUAGAAAACAGACCUAUUUAGCAGUUAAGUAUUUUAUUUCUACCUUUCAAAGAAAAACUAAUGUCAAGCCUACAAACUCAGUUGUUCCAUUAAUAGGUUUAGGAGCCAAUUUUGACAAGUGUCAUCAAUAACCCAACAAAGACACAUUUUUCUCUCCACAGUCAGUUAAAGGAACGUAGUUCAGUUCUACUCUCAGUCUAUUACACUUCUCUCAGGCAUCAUAAAACACCAGAUGUAAUGAUGCACUGUAACAAAUUAUAGAACAGGUUUAAAAAAAACUGAGUCCCAUAAAUCACAAUUUGUUAAGGCUCACUGAUAGUUUAAGAGAGAUAAGCCUGCAAACACUAAGAUUUCUAAGAUAAGGUCGCAGGAGUAUUAAUUACCAACUACUCUAAGUCCUUUCCACAUUUCCAAGAUUUAGAAGCGAGGAGACGGAGUAGCAGACGGGUUAAACUCGGCAGACAGACUGAAGCGAAGGACAAGGAAGAAGUGCAGGGUGAGCCCCGAUUCUAAGCUUGCCGCCCGCCUGCAGACGAGGUGAUGAACAGAGGAGCAAAGCUCACCUUCGUGAAUGGAGGUUUUACAACGUUCUACACGAUAGCCACAGGUGGUAAUGACGAUCCAUUCAAGAAAAAGAAGCUGAGUCAACAUCCAAGUCAAAACAGCGUUUUUACAACUUUUCAGAAAAAUUAAGUGAAAUAUCACUCCGGUUUUCUCCUAAAUUCGUUUCUCUAAGUAUCUUUGGGGACAUGAAAAUGAACUCGUGACUUUUCUGGCUGAAUUAUUUAGUAUUUUUCCAUUCAAGCACCAGAAGAGUCGACCUACAUAGGACUUGCAUUCCUACGCUGCAGUCACUUUUCUGUAUGGGAAACAAUGUGCUUUCUACCAAACCACAGCCCAUUUCCAUUAGCAAAAUAGAAAAAAAAAACAAAAAAAAAAAUACUGACCUAGAGGAUGGCACUGGCAUUCACGUCACUCUAACUCCUACGGAGUAGGUGCUAUUAUCACUCCAUUUCACAGCUAACCAGGGUCACACGCUAGGGAACGACAGGGCUGGGAUCAGAAAACCCAGGAAACCUGGUUCCAGGGCCCACAUUCUUAUUCACAUACUCAAUUGUCCAUUUUGUACCCCCAACGCUUGUCUGUGCUUCACGUGUUGUUUCCCACCAGAUCAGUGGUUCUCAGUGGGGCAAUUUUGCCCUUCAACGCCGUCUCCCCAAAUCUAACUGGGGGACGCUUCGCAAUGUCUGGAGACAAUUCUGGCUGUCACAACUUGGGGGAGGGCUGGUAUUACUGGCAUCUAGUGGGUAGAGACCAGGGAUGCUGCUAAAAAUCCUGUAAUGCACAGGAUGGCCCCUCACAACUCAUUAUCUAGCACAGAACAUCCCUAGUGCUGAGGCUGAGAAACCCUAUGACAGAGGAUAAACUCUAGGAGGUCAGGGUCCAAGUUGACCUUGACUGCUGCUCUAUCUUCAGACCUAGAACCAUGCUUGACACAGAAGCACUUAAAUCUAUCUGUUGAAUACUUAUCUGUCUUUAAGAGCCUAGAACUCAGCCUGAUGUGUAGCUGCUGGUAGGCAAUAUUUAUUAAAGGUAACUGAACAAAUGGUACUGCCCUCAAAGAGGGUCACAGGAUGUUAACAGGACACA